ensembl:lncRNA
UCACCGCCUGUUGCAUGAGUGCAAAGACCUGAGUUCGAUCUCCAGUACCAAAAAAAAAAAAAAGCUGCCAGCUUUAACAUUCCUCUAGAACCAGAAAGCUUAAAGCCACCCAGAAGUUGCCUCUCUUCACUUUGCCCAACUUUUAUCCUGAACUGCAACUGAAGACUGGGAGAGCGGAAAAGGAACAAUUUCAAAAUGUCAAUAAACAAUGAUCUCAAUUGCUCACCAAGACUAAAAAAAUGCAUGGUUCUGAGUGAGAAGGAUGUACUUACUGAAGAGAGAAGACCCACCCUGCAUGUGAGUAGCACCAACCAAUAGGCCUGUGGCUGGAGAGAAUAAAAAGGGAAAGCAGAGGAAGGAUGCAGCCUCCUGUCUCUCACAGUAUGAACUGUUUCACCUUUCCCCAUCUGCCAUACUGCCC